rnacentral:rRNA from 1 species
GACGAACGCUGGCGGCGUGCCUAAUACAUGCAAGUCGAACGCAUUUUCUUUCACCGUAGCUUGCUACACCGAAAGAAAAUGAGUGGCGAACGGGUGAGUAACACGUGGGUAACCUGCCCAUCAGCGGGGGAUAACACUUGGAAACAGGUGCUAAUACCGCAUAAUUCCAUUUACCGCAUGGUAGAUGGAUGAAAGGCGCUUUUGCGUCACUGAUGGAUGGACCCGCGGUGCAUUAGCUAGUUGGGGGGGUAAAGGCCUACCAAGGCUGCGAUGGAUAGCCGCCCGGGGAGGGUGAUCGGCCACACUGGGACGGGGACACGGCCCGGACGCCUACGGGAGGCAGCAGUAGGGAAGCUUCGGCAAUGGACGCAAGUCUGACCGAGCAACGCCGCGUGAGUGAAGAAGGUCUCCGGAUCGUAAAACUCUGUUGUUAGAGAAGAACAAGGAUGAGAGUGGAAAGUUCAUCCCUUGACGGUAUCUAACCAGAAAGCCACGGCUAACUACGUGCCAGCAGCCGCCGUAAAAC